GAUGAACGCUGGCGGCGUGCCUAAUACAUGCAAGUCGAACGAAACUUCUUUAUCACCGAGUGCUUGCACUCACCGAUAAAGAGUUGAGUGGCGAACGGGUGAGUAACACGUGGGCAACCUGCCCAAAAGAGGGGGAUAACACUUGGAAACAGGUGCUAAUACCGCAUAACCAUAGUUACCGCAUGGUAACUAUGUAAAAGGUGGCUAUACUACCGCUUUUGGAUGGGCCCGCGGCGCAUUAGCUAGUUGGUAGGGUAAAGGCUUACCAAGGCAAUGAUGCGUAGCCGAAUUGAGAGGUUGAUCGGCCACAUUGGGACUGAGACACGGCCCAAACUCCUACGGGAGGCAGCAGUAGGGAAUCUUCCACAAUGGGCGAAAGCCUGAUGGAGCAACGCCGCGUGGGUGAGGAAGGUCUUCGGAUCGUAAAACCCUGUUGUUAGAGAAGAAAGUGCGUGAGAGUAACUGUUCACGUUUCGACGGUAUCUAACCAGAAAGCCACGGCUAACUACGUG
rnacentral:rRNA from 1 species